rnacentral:rRNA from 1 species
AUGGAAGCGCGGUAACGUGUGGAGUCGACCGGUACUAAUAGGCCGAGUGGCUUGAACAC